UACGAAGGGGGCUAGCGUUGUUCGGAAUUACUGGGCGUAAAGCGUGCGCAGGCGGCUUCUCAAGUCAGGGGUGAAAGCCCAGAGCUCAACUCUGGAACUGCCUUUGAGACUGAGAGGCUCGAGUACGGGAGAGGUGAGUGGAAUUCCCAGUGUAGAGGUGAAAUUCGUAGAUAUUGGGAAGAACACCGGUGGCGAAGGCGGCGACCUGGUCCGAUACUGACGCUGAGGCGCGAAAGCGUGGGGAGCAAACAGG
rnacentral:rRNA from 1 species